rnacentral:rRNA from 1 species
GAUCCGUGACCAGCAGGGCGGCGUGUGUAAUUCUCCUGGAAAGAGGUGCAAUGAAUGGUGAAAGCCCAGUUCAACACACGUCUCGCGCUGCGUACCGUCCGGAAUCUCGGAGUCGCGUUCCCUGGGACGGGAGCGUAAAUCAGAUGGUAUAUUUCAUCUAAAGCUAAAUAUCUUCUCGAGACCGAUAGAGAACAAGUACCAUGAGGGAAAGAUGAAAAGUACUUUGAAAAGAGGGUUAGACGCGCCUGCAACCACUGUAUUACAAGCACUUGGAUCCUUCCAGUUUACUGGAUCAGCGAGUCCCCACCGGGUGUGCAGCGCUGGCCAACCAAGGUCACGCUCGUCCCCAUUCCGGGCUCGUGGAAUCCGGUAGAUAUUAUCGGCGCAACUAGCA